GACGAACGCUGGCGGCGUGCCUAACACAUGCAAGUCAAGGCGGUAGCAAUACCGACUGGCGCACGGGUGCGGAACACGUAGGUAAUCUGCCCUUUAGGGGAGAACAACUCAUCGAAAGGUGAGCUAAAUCUCCGUAAUGUUUUACUAUGGCAUCAUAGUUCAACCAAGUUUUCUAAGGGAUGAGCCUGCGUCUGAUUAGCUAGUUGGUGAGGUAACUGCUCACCAAGGCUACGAUCAGUAGCUGGUCUGAGAGGAUGAUCAGCCACAUUGGGACUGAGACACGGCCCAAACUCCUAGGGAGGCAGCAGUGGGGAAUAUUGGACAAUGGGGGCAACCCUGAUCCAGCAUGCCGCGUGAGUGAUGAAGGCCCUA
rnacentral:rRNA from 1 species